CAUUAAUCCGGAUUAGUCAAACAAAGACUUCCGAUAAUCAUCUUUAAUCACUGGGGGAAGUUGCCUGGGCAUGUUAGGAAUACAUCAGCGUCAGGAUUUGAUGUUGCGGUGCAUUGGGAUACAAGGCCACUGAUCCGUGCCGCCCGUCUCUGACAGUCCUCCACUGCCGACAGGGUAAGCAAGCCGAACACAACCCGCCUGCGCCGAGAGAGGAGCACGCUGAAUAGAGCCGGUUUCAUUCUGUGACAGUUCAGCCCAUGCUUUCUAUCAAAGAAAAACACAAGUUAUUUAGAAAAUCUUAUCAUCCACACAU